UCCCUGGUGGUCCAGUGGCUAAGACUCUGCACUCCCAAUGCAGGGGCACGGGUUCGAUCCCCGGCCAGGGAA